GACGAACGCUGGCGGCGUGCCUAAUACAUGCAAGUCGAACGCUUCUUUUCCUCCCGAGUGCUUGCACUCAAUUGGAAAGAGGAGUGGCGGACGGGUGAGUAACACGUGGGUAACCUACCCAUCAGAGGGGGAUAACACUUGGAAACAGGUGCUAAUACCGCAUAACAGUUUAUGCCGCAUGGCAUAAGAGUGAAAGGCGCUUUUCGGGUGUCGCUGAUGGAUGGACCCGCGGUGCAUUAGCUAGUUGGUGAGGUAAACGGCUCACCAAAGGCCACGAUGCAUAGCCGACCUGAGAGGGUGAUCGGCCACACUGGGACUGAGACACGGCCCAGACUCCUACGGGAGGCAGCCAGUAGGGAAUUCUUUCGGCA
rnacentral:rRNA from 1 species